UGUAAGCGUAUACCAAAAUUGUUGCAGUUAAAACGCUCGUAGUCGGAAUUUGGCAGUUCCGGAUGUGUGCACGUCGUGUGCGCACUUCGCGGGGAUUGCUUUUGUGGUCUUGCGUAGGAUGAGGCACUUUUAUUAGUGAACGUCCUCACGCAACCACUUUUUACUGUGAGAAAAUCAGAGUGCUCAAAGCAGGCAUUUGCCGUGAAUGUAUUAGCAUGGAAUAAUAGAAUAGGACUUGGUUCUAUUUUGUUGGUUUGUUGGGACUGAGUAAUGAUUAAGAGGGACAGUUGGGGGCAUUUGUAUUUCGGCGCUAGAGGUGAAAUUCUUAGAUUGCCGAAAGACAAACUGCUGCGAAAGCGUCUGCCAAGGAUGUUUUCAUUGA
rnacentral:rRNA from 1 species